UUAUGUCCCGCUAGAAGCACUUCUUUCAAUUAUAGUUUCAGUUCCAAUCAAAAAAGAGGUCAAUUUAAAUGACACGGAAUGCACCGUUCCUCAAUUUGAAAAUUGGAACUUCUCAUUUGUAUUAAACCCCCAGGGCAAACAUGACCACAACACAUUAUCGCUUGAUCUUCCCUUUUCUCACUGCGGUUAUUAAAGGCUAUAUUUUGGAAACCACGUGUGCGGUUGUGACACACAUAUUUUACAUAUUGUGGGACACCUGUAGUGUGUGACUGGACACACUAGAGAUGACUCGGUAUAGUACGUUUCAUUGACACACACAAAUACACGUUCUGUUGUGAAACGUGAAAUGUAUCGUAAUAGGUAACAGUUAAAUACAAUAACGCGUAUUAAAAAAAAAAAAAAAACAUGUCAUUCAUUAGAGUUUACAAUACAUAAAACACAUAUAUAAAACGCACAACACUGCCAAGCAGUGCUGUAUGCUGGAUUGAGGUACAGCAUACCAGAACAUUUGUAUUCUGUAUUUUUUUAACUAACGUACAUGCGAACUUCCCAAUGUUAUGCUUUUAUGUCUCCAGUGAUGUUAUAAAAUAGUGCAAAUCCGUGGUAUGACUGACUGGUGACGUGACUUAUUUAACAACAGUGUGAUAAUGACAAGAGUGAAUGACACACCAGGGCAGAGGGUGGCACUAUCAGGCGUGACAAACACGUUUCAAGGGUUUGUGUGCGUGCCUGCGUGCGUGUGCGUUUUUAUUAACUUGCUACAAUAAAUAAAUAAAUAAAUAAAUAAAUAAAUAAAUAAAUAAAUAAAUAUGGAAAGUUUUACUGAUUGGAUUCUGUCUAACUCUCCAUCACAUACUCAGACAGCCCACUUAAAAAAAAAGGUUGUUCCAUUACCCUGAAAGCAAAGGCAUAAUAUUAUUUUGGCUCAGAUCUCAUAAAAGUGGCAGAAUAGUACAGAUCGCAUUUGAUGAUGGAGGAAGUGAAAGACAGAACCCCACCUGCAGAAACCUACCUGCUCUGGUCAAUAAUAAAUCUCCUGUGUUGCUGUUUCCCUCUUGGAGUCGUCGCUGUCAUAUAUUCCAUUAGGGUGGAGAACGCUGUCUCAGUUGGAGAUAUGUCACGAGCGGUGGAAGCAUCUCAAACAGCCAAGAUCUUAAACAUUGUUGGAGUGGUUACCGGAGCGCUAGCAUUGAUGCUGAUCUUUGUUAUGUACGCCGUUGUGAUUACCCGCCUCAAUCAGUGAUUCAUACAAACCAGGAAUUGGAUCUCUACUUGUGCGUACCUGUCUUGGUGUUAACUUUCUGCAUGCAGUAAAUACCGCGCCGUUUCCUUGCGACGCUUCUUCCCUUUCGGCUUUGCUGAAGAGCACACACCUUUCCACACUUUUUUUUAUUGUCAACAUUAUCAGUGUUAAACAUCGCUUUGGGAGAGCUGCUUUCGAAGUGUUUCCAAGCUUGAGUGCUGUGCAAGUCCCGUCAUGAAGUGGACUGGGGGAAGGGAACUUUUGGAAUUUGUGGACGAUUGCGCUCAAUAGAGUAACACUGUGAGCAAAAGCCAGUGGUUUGAAAGCACCCUCUCAGUCGCUCAUGGGCCUCUUUCAAGCAGGAAUGCACCACAUUGUGUGUGCGUGUGUGCUUGUGCGUGUGUGGGGGGCUGUUUGGACGGAUUCCAUGUUGCCAUUUGAUAUUGAGCCUGAGUUCAGUCAUCUGCUAGUUUCCAUGUAGCAGAUUGAAAACAGCCCAGUUUAAAGUUAGAAUGGAGGGCUGGCAGAACUUACAGCAUGAUUUUCAAAAGGGGCAAAAUAAGAACUAGGUUGCACAGUGAUUUCUAAAAGCUGAUUUGGGUCACUAAGUAUGUGGCUUUCAAAGGGUUUCGAUGAAACAAGUCUUGUAUUCACCUGUUGACGCUUUAAAAAUACAACUCAAGCGACGUGGUUACAUUAAAUCACGCUUUUAAAAACAUUUCGCGACCUAGUUCUUAAUUUGCCCCUUUUAAAAAUCAUGUUGUUAGUCCCUCCAUUUUGCACUAAUGUUUGAAGUCACCUGAUCUAAUGCAGAGGAUGCAAGAGAUUGUUCUAACUGGGGCCUCCAGAGUUUAAAAGGCUACUGAAUUAGCUACACCCCCUCCACCAACACAGAGAAAACUAUAAAUCAGCUACAGCUAUAGAGACAAUCUUCUUACAAUAAGCUUAUCUCAUAUUGGUAUUGUUUUUUAUAUUUAGUUUGGUAAUUUCUCAAAUCAGCUGCUCAAGAAAACAGGUUACAUUUUAAUAUCCACUGCAUAUAGUGUUAUUUUAAAACAAAAAUUGCUAAGUAGCACAGUUGAGUUUUGCGAUAGGAAAAUGGACUACCGUACACUACAGCAAGUUGUUCCAAUCUUUGUUGGAAGUUUGAAUGUUUAAUUUGACAUUUCCUGCUCGAACUCAACAUUUUGGUGGUACAUUUUGCCGCAUUCAAUUUGCUUAAUAACUUAUGGGCUCUAUAAGGAACUGUUAAUUGUGUUGUAUUUAUUUAUGUAAGUGUGUAAUUGUUUGAUGUUUGUAAUGUAUAACAGAUUUUAUUGGAUGAAUGUUUUGUAAUUUAUUAAACUGUGUCAUGCUUUUGUCAGACUAUAA